AUUGAACGCUGGCGGCAUGCUUUACACAUGCAAGUCGAACGGCAGCGCGGGGCAACCUGGCGGCGAGUGGCGAACGGGUGAGUAAUAUAUCGGAACGUACCCUGGAGUGGGGGAUAACGUAGCGAAAGUUACGCUAAUACCGCAUACGAUCUAAGGAUGAAAGUGGGGGAUCGCAAGACCUCAUGCUCCUGGAGCGGCCG
rnacentral:rRNA from 1 species